rnacentral:rRNA from 1 species
GGGACCAAGCAAGUCACAGCCCUAACCACGCCUGGUCUUGUCUAUCUCAGAAGCUAACUAGGGCCGAGCCUGGCUACUACUUGGAUGUAAGACUACCUGGGAAUAAGGAGCCCUGGGAGCAC